CAGCUCCGCCCCUCUCCCCGGUGACUGUAUUAGCGCAGCGCGCACCGGCUCGGUCUUUCCGUCCCGGGCUUGGUGGUGAGUGUCCUCGCGGGAGGGGGUCAGGAUGUCCCCGUGUCCCCUCGAGCUUUGCCCGCCCCGAGCUCAGCUGCUCCCGGCGGCCAGAACGGAGGGGUAGAGCAGUUCUCGGCGGCCCGCGGGGCGGGCGGCCGUGCCCAGCCCGGGGCUGCGCGAGACACAAAGCCCUCUGCGCCGUCCGACCCGGGAGCCCUGACCACCGCCCUUUUCCCUCCGCAGGCCGACCCACCGGAGCCGAUCCCCACUGCCCAGCCGUGCUGCUGCCUCGGACACAAGCACAGGUACGUCCCGGCAUUGAUCGGAGGCAGGCCCAGGCCACGUGGCGGAGAAGACUCGGGUUCCGGGCCUGCCUUUGUUGAGCUGCGCAGGUCCUCCCCAGUCGCCCUUUCCUGUGCCCUUUUAAGGUUGUCGCGGUACUUUAAGAGGCUAACACAGAAGGGUAAAGGAACUCUCCAUUAAACCCAGAGAGGAAAGCUACACCUCCUCUCUGGAUCCUGUCUGGAGUCACAAAUUAGCCAGAAGCUACAUUUGAAACUUGAAUGUGUGCAUUUUAGGUUCUGGCGAUUGCUAGGUAGUGACGUGGUAUAGGAUUUUUAAAAAGUGGCCUACGCGGUUUAAUUUGAUUGGAGGGAAAAGUUCAGGAGACAAGAAUACAUUCGCUUUUCUAGAAAUGAGAUUUUAGGUCAGCUGAAAAGGAUAUUGUUCAGUAUUUUCCACUCAUGUGAAACAUUUUUAUUCUUUCGUAGGUUGACAACUACGAGAAAGAAAUUCGUGACUGAAUGGAUCCAAGGUGAAGUAUUACAUGUGGUAACCAGGCUUGCCUGUAUUCCACCUUAGGAUUAGUGUCCAAGCUGAAAUAGGUGAAGUCCAUUUUACAGAUAGAGUGAGGGCCAUGUGAGUUUCCUUGGAUGGCCUUGUAACUGAUUACCCUGAAGGUAGUUUCCUAAAGUUUUUAUCAAUGUACUAGGAUCCUGCCCCACCCCUUCUGCAUGUCUAGCUGUCCUAGAAUCAGAUCCACAUGGCUAUGACAUGCUGGCGGUUUUAAAGAUGCAGACAAACAAGAUUUCAUGCUAGCUCAUUAGAAUGUAUCUGGACUUCAUGCUAGGACAAGUUCUUUGCUAGUAACCAGUCACGUGCUAGCAAUUGAGGUGUGUUGACCUGUAUAUUGUUGCCUAUGAGUAAUUUUCCAUAAUCUUAAAUAAAGCACUUUUCCUGUGUCAAUUCCAUGGCGGUCUUUUUCUUUCUGUAAGUAGUCACUCGUUCUUAACUACUGGUUUGCGGGGAGUCAAUCACUUGGAGCAGUCUGUCCUUCCACCAUGUGUGUGCGUCCCUAGGAUUAAACUCUGGCUGUCAGGCCUGGUAUCAGCCACUAUUAGCUUUAGGGUUGCUUCUUAGCAUUGUUUUUCCCUUUGGCCUUCCAAGCUUCUGUAUGGUGCCUAUUGAACUCACAAUUUAUAUUCAUCUAGACCCCGUAUAUGUGAUGCAAGGGAUAUAACUUGUCCUUAGGCUGCAUGGCACCUUUUUACCUGUGCCUCUUAAUUUUCAGAAGUGGUUUCAUUUUAAAAGAAGCCAGCUUCAAGGAUACAAAGUUGGGUGACUAUGCAGGGAGACAAUGGGAACUGUUAAAAUUGUGUCUUAGAUAUCAAUUCUAUUUAUACCAUAGCUUUAAAGUUUUAAAAGUUCUCUGACCAAAGUAGGCAAAACUCCAGCACAGUUCCAUAUGGGCUACAUUGUACCCAGUGCGGAGUAGCAGUGGUCAGGGAUAGUGCAGAGCCGAGUUCCAUUACUAUAGGCUGCUGGUAGCUGUUAUAAGAUACUCUGUAACUCUUGGUCUUUUUUUUUUUAAAGUGAGCAGCCUGUAGAUGUGCCUCCAUGAUGACAAAAUCUUAAGGGGGGUGGUAUGGGUGGGAGCAGGAGGAUGGGACAUUACCAUUACCCUGCUUUUAAUUGGGCCAGUGAAACAUCAGUAAGAUGAGCAGGAGUCUAAAACUACCUGGUGGCAUCUGCACUAGCCAGAAAAAGGACACAAGCUGCAUUAAAUUGAAAAGUAUAACUUAAGAAAAUUCAAAACAGGCUGGAGAGCUGGCUCACGGUUUAGGACCACUUGCUGUUUCAGAGGGCCUGGGUUUGGUUCCUAGUGCUCACGGAGGCUCACAACCUCUAGGGGGUCUGACACCCCAGGAAAGCUUGGGGUGCACAUGCAUACAUGUAGUCUUAAAAAUGUCAAAACUUACCUUGUGUAUGCAUUUAUGUUGUGAUUUCAAUGCUUAGGUUGCAGUAUGACA
ensembl:lincRNA